rnacentral:misc_RNA from 1 species
AACAUCGCGCACCUGCGGGAACCUGCGGAGGGAUCAUUAUUGAAUUUGGUCAGGCUGUUGCUGAUCCUUAGGGAUAUGUGCACGCUUGCUUCCAACUUUCUACCACCUGUGCACCUUUUGUAGAUGCUGGACACAUUGUCGAGUGCGUUUACGCACAUCGGUAUUUAGGAUUCUGCUGUGGCUUUUUAGCUUUAGCUAUCCUUGCAUGUCUGGCUCUACGUUUUUUCAUAUACGCAUGUC